GAGGGUAUAGCUCAGUGGUAGAGGGCAUGCUUAGCAUGCACGAGGUCCUGGGUUCAAUCCCCACUACCUCCA
rnacentral:tRNA from 1 species